UACGGGGGGAGCAAGCGUUGUUCGGAUUUACUGGGCGUAAAGGGCGCGUAGGCGGGCGGUCAAGUCGGUGGUGAAAUCCUUCAGCUCAACUGGAGAAUGGCCGCCGAUACUGACUGCCUCGAGGGAGGUAGGGGCACGCGGAACUUCCGGUGGAGCGGUGAAAUGCGUAGAUAUCGGAAGGAACGCCGGUGGCGAAAGCGGCGUGCUGGACCUCUUCUGACGCUGAGGCGCGAAAGCCAGGGGAGCAAACGGG
rnacentral:rRNA from 1 species